rnacentral:rRNA from 1 species
AUUGAACGCUGGCGGCAGGCCUAACACAUGCAAGUCGAGCGGAUGAAGGGAGCUUGCUCCUGGAUUCCGCGGCGGACGGGUGAGUAAUGCCUAGGAAUCUGCCUGGUAGUGGGGGAUAACGUCCGGAAACGGGCGCUAAUACCGCAUACGUCCUGCGGGAGCAAGUGGGGGAUCUUCGGACCUCACGCUAUCAGAUGAGCCUAGGUCGGAUUAGCUAGUUGGUGGGGUAAAGGCCUACCAAGGCGACGAUCCGUAACUGGUCUGAGAGGAUGAUCAGUCACACUGGAACGGAGACACGGUCCAGACUCCUACGGGAGGCAGCAGUGGGGAAUAUUGGACAAUGGGCGAAAGCCUGAUCCAGCCAUGCCGCGUGUGUGAAGAAGGUCUUCGGAUUGUAAAGAACUUUAAGUUGGGAGGAAGGGCAGUAAGUUAAUACCUUGCUGUUUUGACGUUACCAACAGAAUAAGCACCGGCUAACUUCGUG